rnacentral:miRNA from 1 species
ACCGAUUUCAAAUGGUGCUA